AUACUUACCUGGACGGGAUCAAUGGGCGAUCAAUAAGGCCUAUGGUCGAGGUUGGUGACCUCCAUUGCACUCAGGAGGGGUGCCCGCCUAAGUUUACUCAAGUAGUGGAGCCUAUGCCAUACUUUGUGGUAGUGGGAGUCGGUGUUUGCGCGGCCCCUUC